rnacentral:lncRNA from 12 species
CCCAGCUUCAACCUAAAUACACCUUUGGUGCUGCUCAUCCUCUUUUAUCACUGUUUAAGGGCAGGUAUUAAAUACAAUACAAAAAUCUGUAAGAAACAUAUUGCAUGCAUUAGAGCCUUCAUGGCUUUCAUUAGGGCUGAUUAAAUCAUGUUCCAUGUUAAAAAUCCUGAAAUAAUUUUAUAUAUUAGGUGCACAACCUACAAUCUUUCUUCCUUUCCUACUCUCUCUGGGGAAUUUUUCAUGUCCUGUCUCAGUUCACAGAUGAAAAUCAAUUUUGUGAUUUCUUCCUAGAAGCUAAUGGAAAUUGGUUCAAAUCACAAAGCCACAACACAGUAUGUCCAAUUCAGCAGAAAUACCUGUUCGCUCAGUUAACAAGAAGCCCAAUUUGGAACAGCAAGGGAGUUCCUGGUCAGGAACGAGGAGCUCAACAUUGUUUGAAUGUUCCUUGCCUAUUCAGGAAGCAGAUGAGGAAUAAAUCCUGCCAUUCCAAGAAGAAUACGAUCUUCGUUCUGUGAUUAUUUUUACCCUUUGCUUCAAAGACUCUGCAUGUCACCCUAGUAGUAAAGAAAAAGUUGAGUAAAAGCAUGUGAAAUUCUCCACAGACCCAUCUAGAAAUUACCCUAGAAUUAUGUAUUUAUUUGUCUUAUUUACUUUUUCACAUGUUUAGUUAGCUGAUUUUCCUUAUUUAUCUAGGUAAUCCUAUAUAGUUUGGGCUGAUUUUCCCUAGGCUAAUCAAGACUGGAAUUUCCCACAAGAGUGACUUGUCCUCUCAUGGCUUUUUGACACCACGUACCACAAAUCUAAUAUCCUGGUGAGAUGUAAUGAGAUAGGAGCUCAGCUUAGCCAGAAGUUUGCCAGAUUUUUUUCCUUUUGUUUCUUUUCUUUAGUUUUCUUUUCUUUUCUUUUCUUUUCUUCUUUUCUUUUCUUUCCUUUCCUUUUCUUUUUUCUUUUCUUUCUUUCUUUUCCUUCUUUAUGUUCUUUUUUCUUUCUUUUUUGUUAAGGCAAAGAAUUCAAAGAUGGGAAGCAAAAUUUUAAUGGCCCCCAGCAAGUUACAGAACUGCAUUGAAAUUGAGUUUACACAUUUGAGGAAGAAAGGGAAUUAGAUGGGGAAUUAGCAUUUAUUUUCUAGCUUCCAUGUCACCUUUUUUGUUG